CGCGCACGCACCGAAUCUUGGACGCGAACGGGGCACCCGGCCUCUCCCUGCCUGGUGCACGAACCUACUGACACGCGUUGCACUUCAGAGUCGUGCAAACCCCUGCCCCAGCGCGGGCCAAUAGAAAAGGGUGUGAGUGAGCCUUCCUGCGUCUAGGGGGAGCAGGGGCGACGGAUAGGCUAAGGGAGCAAGACUUUCCGUGGCGCACCAGGACUGCGCACCCCCUGCGCAGAGUCGGCGCGGGGCGCUGCGCGCAGGGCCAUCCAGGCUUGCCCCAGUGUUGAAGAUGGAACUAAGGGCCUCUUGCCUGUUGGGGAGCACCCCAGCCACGACCUUCGGACCAAAACCUUGACAAUGACCAGAGAUUGCUUCACAGUGAGAAAAUACUUUCAAAAUUAUAAACUUAGUACCAAUCACGCUUUGAGAAGAAGCAAGAUAUAUCAUGUACAGGUGUAAAUCCCCUAUAAUGAAUGUUAUCAUUAUGUAUAUCUAAAAUGUAUCAAUAAAUGUUUUGCUUUAAAAGAAAAAAAAGAAAUCACGCUUUGA
rnacentral:lncRNA from 1 species